GAUGGAAUGGGAUAUAAUUAUAAUUUUUUCAUAGUUAAUAUUAAUUUAUAUUUUGAUAUAUUUUUAUAUAGUUUAUUUUAUUAUUAUUAUAUUUUAAACGACUAUGUUAAAACUAAUUAGUUUUUAUUAAUUCAUUUGAGUAACAUCUCAAAAGUCAUAGCAAGGUAGCUUGUACUGGAAA
rnacentral:rRNA from 1 species